UCACAUACAGCGAGGCACAGAAAAUGACCCACUGGCUACGCAGGUUCUAAAAACAUUCCUUUUAUAGUAUAAAUGUAUAGAUACAGAAUCUGCAGCCGCUGCACAUUUUUCUGCCUGGAUGUUUAGGUAUUAAACACUUAUUUCACAUUAUUGGGCAACACAUGAGGAGCACAAAGCAUUGUUGAGAGAAAAAGCAUCUUCUCUUCUGUCCAGGUGGUGAGCCAGCAGUCUGCCUGCUAACACUUCACUUGAGCUCUGUUAAGUGAGUGUUAAAGACUGGGUUUCCUGCAGUUUGUAGCAUGCUGGGUUGAGGAGAUGGUGCCAAGCAAGACUCAUAGGCUCCUCAGCAGAGACUAUAGACAUGAUGGCAUCGGAAAGGAAAUUCUGCACUUGCAUACAUAUUCAUUGUGGCUUUGGGCUUUUUAAACAGCAAGAUACCACCAGCCUGAGUUUCGGCUCUGGCUCUGUAAAGAUUAUGAUUUCAUCCAGACCCUUAAGCAAGUAAAGGAGGACAACAGAAUGAAAACGCACUUGCCAAAGCCAGGUCACAGGCUUGUCACAAAAACACGCACACCUAACAUUUUGAAGAGGUAUCUCCAGUGUAGCUGACCAGCGAUAGGACAUGAGGAAAUGGACUGAAGCUACUUCAAGGGAAGUCCAGACUGGACAUUGGGAAAAGGUUCUUCUCUGGGAGGAUGGUUGGUCACUGGAACAGGCUCCCCAGGGAUGUGGUCUGGGCACCAAGCCUGUCAAAGGUGAAGGAGCAUCUGGAUCAUGCUUUUAGUCAUAUGGUUUAGUUUUAGGUAGUCCUGCGAAGAGCAGGGAGUGGGACUUGAUGGUCUUUAUGAGUCCAACUCAAGAUGUUCUAUGACUUCUAUAUCAUCUUGCAAAAUAGUAAUUUUAGAGUAUUUGCCAAGAUGGGAUCCUGAGAAUGGAGAACUCUGAGCUGCUGGGGUUUCCCCUUUGUAAGAUAAAAUGAAAUACUGAGUUGACAGUAGCAUCAGCACCAUCACUGACAAAGGAGUCACAGUGCAGUAGAUGUUACUUUAAACUAAUUUUUAUUUGUUUCUAUGAUAUGUACUUGUCUAAAAACUAAAAUCAAGGUCUGAAAACUGCUUAACUAAAUUAAAGCUGUCUUGAAAAUAAUGAAGCAUCUCACUGAGUAAGACGGUCUGCCAGACAAAAGAGAAAUCAGAAAAACAGUUACGUAUUUGCUACGCUGAUUUUUUUUCAGACAAUAGAGCUACAAACUUCUAUGGCAAGUGUUCUGGAAAAAGUGAAAGAAGCAAAUCACUUUACCACAGGCUGUCUUUACUAAGAAGAAAACACAAAAAAUGUUUUGUUCUGCACCUUCACAACAGUUCCUCUACUGAAAGAGGAUUAGGCUCUAAGUGCUUACUUUGUUUGUUUGGGGAGAGGGCUUUUUUUGGCAUGAGAUUCCAGCAAACCAGUAUUCAUUCUGCCACCCAGUGGGUGCCUGAGCUCUGCUUGAAAUCACCAAUCUCUGUCUUUCCUGGGGUCAGGAGAAGUACCCAGUUUGAGUGUUGGCGAUUGGAUUGCUGGUCUGAAUAGAGCUGAGAAGAGAUUGGCUUUUGCUUUUCUCACUUUUCAGCUCUCUAUUGACUUGUUCUCUCUUUGGUACAGAUAAGGGGAGUGAUUUUCCCCGAUUUAGGCUUUUUCUAUGAACAUUUACAUAUACAGAUGAUCUUCUGCAUCUCCUUCCAAGAGCAGGACAGUUCGGUACCCGAGAGAGGUUCUUCUUUGUUGAUGUGUGAAGCAACCUGCCCAUUUGGCAUCAAGCUCCUGCCUUUUCUUGAUAAUUCUGUGCUUCAUGUUAAUUAUAUAAAGAAGGGGAAAAAAUAGAAUAUAGGCAUAACAUGUUCUGCAUAGUUUAGUAUAGCAGUAUUUCCUUUCUACUUUCCAAACUUGUCACUGAAACUACUGGCUGUUUUUAAUCUAACAUAACAUUGGCUUCCUGUGUAUUAUCUCUUUAACUUAAUUUUUGCUCUUCAGUCUCCCACGGCACUUCUGCUGACAAGAGAGACAGUAAAUGCUGGAACGCUGUGUUUCAGCCUCAGAAUCAUUUUUAUCUUCUCAGCAGAGGUUUCAAAAUAGAAAUAGUUGCCUCUAUAUCUAGCCAUCUUUCAGCUCUUGAAUGCUCUUGUCAUUUUCAAAGAGCACUUUAUGAUUAAAAAUAGCUUGAUUAGCUGAUAAAAUUAAAUACGCUUUGCACGGGGAGCACCACCCUCAAACAUCCUGGCUGUUAAUGAGCGCUCUGCACGUAUUGUCACUCACAGCCUUCAGCCAAAAGGAAGUCCGUGGUUAAUGGCAGCUUAAAAAGCUUCAAGAAGCAAACAAACCAGGACAAUAUUUUUAUUUUUGAAGUUGCUUUGUCAUCAGAUGUUUCAACAUGUGCAAUACCACAUGUUUCACAUAUGAGACCAGUCUUAGUAGCUCAUAUUUUAGAAGGGACAUGUUGAGAACACUGGAAUGGAGAAGCCAGUACAGGCGAGGCAGCCAGCGUGGAAGGGAUUUUCUGCAGUGGAGUUUCCCCCAAAGAGGAAGAGGGACUGAGAGCCUGCAAAAGGUCAAAAAAUAUCACAGAAAUUUUGAGACUCUUGAUGGAAACUUAGAGGGUAUGAAGAAAGUGGAAAGUUGGACAAAAGAAGAGGAAACACAGGGGCUGGUGAGCAGCUGGGUGGAAGGGGCUUCAGAUGGAGACCCAUAUGCAGGAGGUGGUACUUCUGCACAUACUUUUGAUGUUACUCUUCAGCACCUGCAAGAAAGACAAAGAAAUGGGGCAGGAAAACUGGUGUUCACGACUGUCUUGGUCUGUGUACUCCUUCUGCUAGUUAAACUGGAACAAAUUCAGACCUCUGGUCUUGUGGGCUGAUUCAAGAGAAGGCUGGUGUACAGCUUCAAGCUUUAGUUAAUAUAACCAAGUAAUCACUGUGCAGAUCAUACCACCCAUUGACUCUGUGCAAAAGAGCAGGGGCAGCGGCAAGGUGUGAAGCCCCUUGAUGCCCCUUCAGGCUGAAGGGAGCUGGCAGUUGAGAUUGGGGGCUGUGUGGAGUUGAAAGGGAGGAGGCAUGUUCCUCAGUUCUCACUCCCAGAUUUCUCGAAUGGUGAAGUUAACUGUGAAGUUAGGCACACUGCUGAUCAUCACUGCCUGACAUAAGAGCCAGGUACAAAGCAUGAGAUAGGGAAGUGUUCAGAUGAAGCAAAAUCCAGCACUGCAGCCUGCUUUUGGGCUAAGGGGUGCUUGAUUGCACAGUCCAGCAUCCCUGAACCAGCUGGAGCAGCCUGACAGAUACCCAGCUAGGGGAGUUCUGAGGCUGCCAAGAGGUACAUUCCACUUCCACUUCUGUUUUAAAAGGACAAACCUCUUACUAAUGUUCUACAUGCCCAACACUGUAAGUGUCAGAGGGGAUUGUCUGUGGUCUUGGCUGGCUUCUCUAGUUUUCCAAAACGUGGUCACUUUUAUGUCGACAGUGAUCUUGUGAGCUACUCUAACUUCCUCUAAGAAAAGAAGUUAAUGCUGUCACUGAAGGUGAUAGAAAAAAGCCGCUAGGAAAUGCAACAAGAAAAUGAGGGAAGUAGAAGAUGGAGCAAAGCAGUUAUAUGAAUUUGUUGAGGCUUGAGAGGAAGUUCAGAGGAAAAAAAAUAAAUUCUAACAGUGGAAACUCAGAUAAAUCAUUAACAAUAAAAGAAGAAAACAUCUAUUUUGUGAUCCAACUGAAUGCUAAUGUAACUUGAGUAUUUCUAAGUUAUGCCAAGGAUGAUUCUAAUUUGAAGUCUUUAAGCCUUUCCCCUGCAGAGUGUGCUCUGUUAUCCCAUUAGCAGUGAGACAGUCAUCUCACAACCCAGAACAGGGUUUAGACUACAUGAAUAGCCAGCACCUCCAUCGAGUGUCCUGCUGCCUAGCAAUUUACAGUAGCUGCCGAAGAAGAAUUAUUCUGAUGGUAAUGUGUUUGGGGUCUCACAGCUUCAAAUACAAGAAGUGCCUGAACACUAAAACGUGUGGGAAAUAAUUGUUUGUAAUGGCAGAAACCGUGAAUCUUCUGCUUUCUCUCAUUGUCACAGACUCACUGUUGCUGAAUUAGAGAUGCUGAUUAAGAAUAACAGCAAGCUUUCGCAACUCAACAAGUUAAGCCAUUGUGUUGGUGUAAUUAGGGAACUAAAUCUUUUACAGUUCACUCAAGCGAAAAAAUGAACUAGAAAAUUCGAGACCCAGUUUUAACUGGGGAUUAUUUUUUUCACCCCUAAAAAAACCUCUGACAGCCAUUGUAACAAAACAUUACACUUUACCGUGCCUUCAUAUGGCAACACUCUCAUGCACAGAAUAUAAUUUUUGGACUGAGAAUCUGCCUUUUUAUUCAUUUCAGCCUUAUGUACAAAUCCAUACUGGCGAGGGCUCAGCCCCUGCACCUACUUUAUAAAUUUGUCCCAUCAAGUUUUCUAAAAAACAUUUUGUAAAUUCAGAAUUUCUGCUGUAAAUGAUUUCCAGGAAGAAUUACUGUGCCUGUAUGAGAGAAAGACAGAUGCUAGAAUGUGGGAUUCACUUUAAAUUUAUUCUUGUAAUAUGCUUGUGCCAGAUAAUCGAACUUUUAUGAGGAAAAUGUUAGCAGGCAAAAAGGUAGUGAUUCAGGGAAACUCCUGAGUCCUGGAACCACUGGGAACCAGUUUAGCUCCCUGGCUAUCAUUACUCCUUAUUAAUGAGGAAGUCUUCCUUCAGUCUGUUAUGCUGUUAAUUGGAGUUGCCCAACAUGAAUGGUAGUCAGCAGGCCACAAUUCCUUUUUUCCAGCUGUCUAAUGAGUGCAGUAGCUUUAAAAAUAGUAGGCUCUUGCUUUGGGCCUUCACUACAAGGUUUACAAAACCUGGCCAAAGGGACCAUAGCAUAACUAUGCAGCUGCGACACACCACUUAUUUUGUUAUGCAUCCGCAUGCCUAAAACACUAUAUGAAAACCAUUUUGAUUUGCCUUCAACCUUUAUCGACAAAGAACUUGCACACUGGCUAACCACCCUUCCUUAGGCUCUGCAGGACAACCCUGCUUAAGUUUAUGGUGCCAUCAUUUCAUUUUGUGGCUCCUAAGUAGAGGUCUUUUGUGAGUAUAGGCACGUCCAGCCAAAGCAGAGCCCAACUGAGUUGAUUGUAAGCUGUUAGAUAUCGACAGUUUUAAAAGGAAAUCGUCAUGGUUAUGGUUUAAAAUAAACUUCGGCUGCAUAUAGUUUAUUACACUAAAAACUGGAAGCAAAAAAGCUGUGUUCUCUCUCUCUGAGGACAACAGAAGAUUUCCUGGUAGGACCCACACGCAUGCCCACGUGUGUGCAGACUCAUGCAUGUCAGAGAAUCUCUGUAACAGAGACAUCUGCACUGACGUGCACAUCAGCUAUCAUGGGUAUUUUACUCCUACUCACUCUGUCAGGUUUGUGGUUGUCAGACGUAAGAGAGAUUCACUUCUCAAAGCUGCAGAACAAGAGCAGGGUGGCUGAAGUCUUGCAGUCCUAGGACAGGCACCCGCUACCUGCACUUCUCACUGUCAGGACUGAACUUAAGUGGGAAUAAGAAGUAAAGGAUGCAUUAGGUAUCAGUGCCCUGGCAGAAAACAAGUGAUGAGGGCAAAAUGCUUACGCAAGUUUUCUAUGAAGGGAGGACUGCUUAAUUUUACUCAGGGUGAUUUUUGGCAUGCAAAUGUAUCAGGCUCUUUACUGCUUUAGCUAAGAAGACAAUUUAAUGCAAUUUUAGGUGCUAUAUAACUGUGAAAAUUGUCGCACAACGUUUACUAAAGCUUUAGCACAGAAAUCAUCUGCUUUUCUGCUCUCACAGUAGCGUCACUCUUACAACCCCUAUUAGAAAAGUUAAUAGAAAACCCACUAACUCAUUAAACAAGUGGGUGAACAGAAGGAAACCACACAGUAGAAGGUCAUUACAGGAUAUAAAAGCUGAUUUACAAAUGAGAGAUGACUAAUGUUCCAGAUGAACAACAACAAAAAUGUUGUUACAUACAAUUGCAGAGCUGCUGUGCAAAUUAAUUUCAACCACGCAGCUCAAACAGAAAAUAUUUAAAUGCAGCCUGCAAACUUCAAGCUGAUCUCAGCACAAUUUCUGAAAUACUCCCUAUAUAGAUUCAUAGAAUUAUAGAAUCAUAGAAUCAUAGAGUAAUUUGGGUUGGAAGGGACCUUAAAGAUCAUAUAGUUCUAACCCCCCUGCCAUAUUCAUCUCCCAGAAUAAAUUCCCACUUAUUCCACUUGUCACCCUCAGGCUGACUGUAGAAGCAUUCUGGGAAGACCUGAUCUCUACACCUCCUGGAAUUAUCCUAUGUCCAGACAGACUUCCCACAUCAUUUAUUAGCUGCUAGACUUGAUUAUAUGGAGAAGAACAUGUAGGCACUAUGGAUGAUGGGACUGAAUGAGUGAAAUCAAAUUGGUCCAUCUUGCUGGCCAAGAGAUUCAUCAGCCAAGACCAGAGUAUGCAUGUGAACUCCCUAGACAUUUGCUCUGCUUACAGGAAACUUUACUGUAAUCUCCUCUGAUGUAUUUUUCUUGUUUGAUGUUUUUUCUUUUGUUCUUCUUUCACUGCCUCCAUUCCUCUUACUGACAGGCUUUUUUUUGUUGUUGUUUAUUCCCUUGCUGGAUGGUUCCGUUGCCCAGCCUCCAGGGAAAAACAUUGCCCCAACUGAGGCUGAAGCAGCUGCCCAGGCGGGAGCUACAGAAAGCUGCUCGCAUUUGGUGUAAUACUAGAGUGAAAAGGAAGGAAGCCCCUAUUUUACAUCUUGUUUUGACAAAUUGCCAUGCUUGGUGGUUCUACCCUUUGGGGAUUUUUUUUUUGUGAUUUCCUCUUCAACUUCUCAUUGGGAAACACCUCCUGAAAACACUGCAAGACUACUGGUAAAACAGUCCCUCUUCCAUCUGUCCUGGGCCCUGUUGUCCUCACUUGCUGAGAGUCGUCGAGGAUAUCAGUCAACCCAUCCAUGCCAGGUACUUUGGGAAACUCUCAGUUCCCUCAUUCUUAAUCCAUUUUGUUGUUCUUAUAAAACUAUUUCCCCCCCCCCCCCAAUUUACAGCAUGAACUCUCCAUCCAAGGGUACCUCGGGCUUUGAUGUACCAUACUUUACAAUACUGACCGAAAGGAUUUUGUAGGGAAAUCUAAAUCACCAUUUUUCACAGCAGUUUGUCUUUAUUGACUUCAAGGGGUAAGACGAUGCCUAAGGAUUGCUGAGGGAGUGUUCACUGCCAUCCCUCUUCCUUGGAGGAAGCCUGACAAUUAUUGUGCGGGGAAGUAAAAUAGGACAGUUUGCUUAAAUGUUUUGGCUGGGAUCUAAGAUGCUCUGUGUCUAUUUACUUGAUUAAUUUAUCUUUAUCCUGUGGGAGUCCUAAAAACAAUCAAGUUUCUCUCUAAAGCGCUCCUGUAAAAACAAUUAAAGUAAUUAAAAGUAUCUGUGGUUGUGUUAGGACGCCUGUUUUCCUUCUCUCCAUUGCCCACAGAAGAGCUCUCUGUGAUCUGAAUUCCAGCCCUACAAGUUGCAAGAUGGAAUUUUACUGCCUCGACCACAAUUCCUUCUGCCCAAUAAUGUGCUCAAAUAGAAAGCGUUUAACAUCUUUUCUCAUUUAAUUAGCGAUGAUUCUGACUGACUCAUGAUGAAAGUAAAACUGGCGUUGACACCAAACUGUGGCUUUGCUGCAUGCUCUCUCCCUCAAUUUCUGCUGUCAUUGAAUAAGAAGAUACUCAAGAAAAUUAAAACAGUUUUACAUGUUUAAUAGAUUAUAGUGGUAUGUCUCAAGUUUUUAAAUGAUGGGCGUUCUUCAGUCACCAGUACUUUCAUGAACAAUCAGUAAGUAAGUGGAUAGCUUCUCAGCUGAAAAAAUACACAGGUUUCCACUGCAAUCCAAAACAUCUUAUGCAGUAUUUACAGGAAAUUAGAAGUGUAAAAGGAUUUUAAAAUUCAAAAUAGGUUUUUCUGGUUUAGUUUGGGAAAAUCCAAGACCAAAUGAAAGAGCAUGUGGUUAAUAUUUCGAUCCCAAUUAAUUUGUCAAGCAAACUAGACUGCUGUCUAUUAUCAUUUUAAGAUGCAUAAUUUUGCAGUUUAGGAAUAAAAAGAUUUUUCUCAUUCUCUCUUUGAAUAACAUAGCUUUUAUAAUAAACCAAACCAAUUACUUAAAAUCAGAAAGGGUGUUUCCUGUCUUCACCUUGCAGUUCUCCUGCCUGUAUCAACUCUCUCUGCUCUUCAGACUAUCCCUUUUUGUGUCAGCCUGCAUCGGUCCAGAAACAACACACUUGGAAGGCAACUGCAUGUGGCCGCAGGAGUCGUAAGCUUAUCAACAUGAACAGCUAGUUUCACUUUAAUAGAGUGGUGUACUCACAUUACCUGUGUUACCUAUUGACAGAAAAGUGAUUCAGUAUGUAUUUCUGAUGUAGAAAGCUGUGUUUAGACAUUGGAAUACAAUGAAAUUAAAUCAAGAAAAGCUGUUGCCAAAGCUACACGAUAUAAUAUAAUACCAAGUUGCAAUAAAAGCAAUUAAAUUAAAGUCAGGUCUUGAUUUAUUUUUUUAUUAUGCUAUGUUCAGUGCAGUAAAUUCACUAUUAAAAUCAUUCUAUUAAUACCAAGAUUGCUUUUCCUUAUAUAAACUCUAAAAAAAUACUGGAGAAUUUUACUGAAUAAAUAUAAAAUGUAGCCGAGCAGAAAAGCAGAAUUAUUCUUUUUUAAAUCCUGAAUUCAGAACCAGUCAUAGAGCUUAUUUUGGUUUUUGUUAUGCUGAUGGGAUCAUUCCUGUUAUUCUUACAUUACUGUCACAGAGCCUUUGUAGUACAAACAUUAGGAAAUUAGUUUCAGUAGGACUCUUAAUCCUAAAUUAAACAAGAGCACAAGACAGUCUCAAAUCUCUAGGUUUUUAGGUGCGUAGAACAGUUCAGAACCUCUCUUAAUGAAAUUAUUUAGCAUCAUGUUAAAUCUAGGGAAAAAUUUCUCACCUCCACUCUCCUGCCAUUGGCCUUACCAACAGCUUUUUUUCUCCUCUCCCAACGCUACAGCAUUCAACUCCAAAAAUCACUCUGUGCAGUUUAGGACCUCCCUGCAGCCCUGGCUGGAGUGAUGUUCAUGUACUCUGAGCUUCUGCACUCUUCGAACUUCUGAUGGUCAACACCAUUGCCUGUUCAGGCAUCAUGGACAGACUUAAAAGGAAUUUCACACACGUCAAGAUUCACAGAUCAAUCAGCUGUGAGACUCAUGGCCCCUUGAAUUUGAACUAGGAGCUGCUGAGACAUGUCUGUGGCUGGUUGGAGCCAGGAGCCAAUUCCCUUGACAAGCUGUAUGUCCUGGCACUAUCUUCCCUGCUACAACCUGCUGUUUACAGCAAAUCUCUGCCAACAAAUUCCUCUGCACAUCGGCAAUUCAGGUGAAUAUUAAAUGCACUUCUGGAGACAUCCUGUAUCCUACGGUCAUGGCACUUCAUUUUUAAAUAGGGUAUUAAUUUAUGACUUCUCAGUUUGUGAAACGUGUCUCGGAUAGCAUUAGCUUGUGAUCUGCCACCUCACUUUGGAGAGUCCAGGCUGGCCUGGUUGGCCCUCUGUUAGCAUCAACUUAUCAAUAACCCUUAACUCUCAGGACUUCCAGAAAUAUAAGUAUGCUAAGACUAUGUAUGAGGAAGAGAAUUUUUAUAUAAAAAUAAUUUUAUAUAAAAAUAAUCACAGUCAGGAACUUGCAUGAAAAAAAGCAGGAAAAAAUAGAGAUCAACUUUGACAGAAGCUCAUCUACAUCCAACUCCCUUUCUGUGAUUUCCAGAUGGCAUCCAUAUUAUCACUUGUUAUGGAAGUCAUGUUGAUGGUGUCCUAAAUGUGUCCGUCAAUCGUUUUGCUAUGCUUGAAGCUGAUGUGGGCUUGUCCUAGUUAGAAUUCUUGAUGUUGUAAGAAGGUCCUUCUCUGAGGAUUUCCUAGGAGCAUUUAUGUCAGAAUAAGUCAAUCUUUUUAUUAGUUACCCUAGUGUUUUUCAUGUCCCCUCACCAAAAAUUAUGAGGUCUGCACUGAAAGCAUGUAUUUCUGGGAUGUUCUUAAUAUAGGAAGAUUGUUUGUUGCCUAUGCAGAUAAGUAAAACUGUUUUCUUCCUGUAAUACUUCUCUAUGCAUCCAGGUGUUUUGUAAUUCAUAUAGCAAUACACUUUGAUUUAUUUUAUAGAAGAACAAAUUUAUUUUGCACUGAGUAAUAUUUUUGACAGAUUGGGGCAUCCAGAAUAAUAGAAAUAAUCCAAAGAAAUCCAGCUACUUACUAUAGUUACCUUCAUCACAGCUACUACUGCAGAAAUAAUACUGCAGUUAGAGCGAUAUGCAUCACACUUCUGAUUCUGUACAAGUUAUCAGUGGCAGGUGCCAUGCUCUGUGACUACAGCUUGCAUUGAAGCUAGUAAAGUCCUACCAGUACAUAAGCUUCUGUGCAGAGCUCAGUGUCUUAGUCCUUGUGGAGACACUCCAGAAGAGGAAGGGUAUCACUGAAUUAUGUGUGUCAGCUUAAUGAAGAACAACCUCAGUGUUGUAUUACUUGGCUCCUUAUAGCAUCAUGUUCCUCAGCCGCAGCCAGAGUGUGGUCUAGAAACAUCUGUGUAAGCUAAGUGAAGAAAUCUAUUAGAAUCUGACAGGUUCAGAUUAUUUACUUGCAUUCAGGGUCAUUAGAAAGUGUUUAUGUUGGCUCUGGACAUUGGUGCCAAAAGUAGUGUAGCUACAUUCAUAGUCUCUGCUUCUCAGGCUGGUAAGACAUGCAUGAAACCAGCUGGUAUGUCUCUGCACCUGAAGCACUUUUCUAUGUAAGACCAUUGUAAAGUGGUAAGCUCAGCAUACUCUUUGGCGGUGGCAUGUCUCUUUACCUGUUUUGCACUUGUGAAGCUUGCUUUGGUCUUCUUUCUUCUGCUGCUUCCUCCUAAACUGUUUUUUUAUUGCUGUUAUUCUCCUCACUUUAAAAGUAGUUCUCUCAUGUUUCUUGCAUGGUUUGCUUAUUGCAGCUACUGUUAACUAAACUGAAGCAGCUGCCCCAUUGUAGCUGAAACUUUGUUUCCGUUUUUUACUGGUGCACUACUGGAGAGAUGUCUAUUGGCCCUCUCCAUUUAAAUGAGCUUCCAGUUAUGUGGUAGUGUUAUGACCGUGUUUGCCAGCCAACAGGAUAUGUACCUUUGCCUAUAGUUGUUAAAUUUUCCAUAAAUGUUUUUUUGCAGAACAUGCUGGAGAGUUUUAUGGCAUGUUACGUAUCUGUAAGUAGAGCUCCAAGAACCAACAGCGUAUUCACAUAGCAAAAUUUGGCGUAAUCAUUCUCCAUUUUUAUUAGACUCAGAUCCAGUCCAAACAUGCCCAAGACGUUACACAAAAUAUCGUUAUUUUGCAUUAAAAUUGCUACCUAAGCACUAGGUAUCAUCCCUAAAGAUGUCAAGGAACACACGCUGCAGCAGGUUAUAACAAGAACCUUCACCUUUUCUGUGUUUAAAAGAAGUUUUCAAUGCUGUACAGUUGCUGUUUUUUCCUGAUCUAGAAAUAAACUGUAGUAGUUCUUUCACUGAGGAGUUCUCCCUGAGUCAGAGCUUUCUCUAUUCCAAACAGCACUGAGAGAGUGCUACAGAUUUCUGUCACAGAAGUUCCGAAAGUGGACAACAGUGAUUUUUGUUCCGAUAUAUAAUUUGCUCAAACUGGACCACCUGAUAGAGUAACUUUAAGGAUAUUAAAAGCUCUCUAUUUUACCCAAUAUUUUACCAGUUUCCCUCAUUAAUCUCACAUUCUGUAAGUUUCACUACUGAUGUAGUCUACAGAACUUUUCAGGAUCUGGCUUUCGUCGUUGUUUUGGCAAAAGGCCAUCACAUUCUUCGGACUAAGCUGAUCUUGUGGCUCCCUGUAUUUCUUUCAGCAGUGAGAAUUGUUUUGUGCAAUGUGAUAUCCUCUGAGCAUAGAGGUGUUGGGUGAGGAUGCAAAUAUUAUAGCCUCACUGGCAACAGAGCUACCUGAGGUUUAUCACUUGGGAAUGACCCGCUAAAAAAAACACUAUUACCCAUUCCUAAAUCCUUCCUCGUCUGUGCCUUUUUGGGAAUGGUGUGCGAGUUCAUGAUGGGUAAACUCUGGUUAGCCCCAUAAGUCUAAGGAAAAUGAUAUAAGUAACUGGAUAAACAUCACCCACCCUCUCCCCUCCCCAAGCUGAAAGACUUGUGGUACCUCAGUCACAGAUAAAAGGGAUAAAGAUUCCUAGUUCCCACAUCACCUGGAUAAAAAGUCUAGUAAAACCUUUGUAAUUUAUAUAAUUUAUGCUUGUUAACAUCUCCAAAGGUAUGUAUUUGCUAAGACCAGCAAAAUGUGUAAAACAGCUAUGUUGUAAGGCAUGCUAAUUUGCACAUGCUAAUUUGUCUGUAAAACUGCAAUCAUGAUCUAAUGCAAAUACUCCUUUUUCUAUAGUGCCGUGGUAUCUGCACAAGUUGUAGGACUAAAUUGCAUGCAGGCAUCGGUUUCCUCUCCACUAAUGCAAAAUGUUAGUGCAGUAUAUAAGUGUGGGAGUUGGUGCAGAUUAGUUGAUUUUAAAAGGAAAAAUUAUGAAGGAGUCUCAUCUCCAGCAUGGUUCCUUGUACUAAAAAGAAUGUACAGAGUUCUGAUUUUUGACCACACAGAGAAUCUGACAAAUUGACAUAGUUUUCAUCACCAAGCUCCUUGUCACCAAGCACCCUACAAAUAUCUGUUCUCAGGAUCAUACUGCUAUGUUUGUUUAGACUGCUCUGAGGUCUUCCUGCCUCUUUCACCAUCUGGACUAUCUCUCAUCCUCCCAGAUGCCACUGCAUCAAAACAAUUCUUAGCAAAGCCCAUGGUGGUUCCUGAGAAACUGAGCAGCUGUCACUACCAGUGUUUUGGGUAAGAAGGCUGCCUUAAUCUGUGCUUCCACUCAGAUAAAUGAACCUGAAGAUUUCUUGCAAUACUCUCAAAUGAAAAAUUAAGGUUACUUCCAAUUAUUUCAACUUGUUUUAAUCCAGCUUGUAAUCAUUAAAUUAUCAGUCAUCUCAUAAACAAAGCUUUUUCACAAUUUAGCCCAUUACAUAGCAAUUAUAUAAUUUACUAUGCGCUCAUCAGAAAUUUUUUGCUCAAGGACAAGCCUAAAUUAAUUUGUCAUACUUCAUUUACUCCUGAGUGACAUCCUUACACUAUGUCUCCUAUUCUAUGACUGGAAAUCAGAUUCAAGCCCUACCACCACCACUGGAGCACCAGAUACACAUUGCAAUUCCAUUACUCAGCUGAAUAAAAAGAAAUGCCCUUAAAAGAAUACCAAAGUUGUCACUGCUCAGAAUGGGAAACCUCUCCAGCCAAUAGACAAGCCACUUGAAAUAAUUUUAGAUUUGCUGAUUACCUGUACAUCCAGGGGAUAGUAGCAGAUUCACCUAAGCAUAAUGUGUGGAAAUAAUCGAAAACUAAGUAGGCCCUUCUGGAGAGCUUUAAAGAGGUGUUUUCCAAACAGCACAACUUGGAAACUUCUGAGGGCCAUUCAAUGGGACCUUGUAGUAUUUUGUUCCCCUUUGCAUGGCUGCAGGAAGUAGAAGGCAGUAGAGAAUCGGGAUCAGGUGAGUGAGACAUGUUUUGAUACCAGCACCACUACUGCUCACUUGAUUCAAAAAGGACAGGGAGUGCUCAUUAGUACCAUAAUACCAUAUUUUUUUUAGCAAAAAAAACCCAGCACAUGUAAAACUGUCUAAGAAAGUCUGAAGGCUUUACUAGGUGGGAGAAGUGAAGAAAGUAGAAUCAGAACAUAAAUGGUGGUGAUAGGCUCCACAAACUGAAACGUGUUAGCAUUCAUGAAGGUCAAGCCCAGUUCCCAAAGAACAAUUCCUCAGUCUAAUCCACAAACAGGUAAGAAAACCUGGGGCUCAGGGCAAUGCCACUGAUCUUUCGGAAUUAUAAUACUGAAAAAAAUGCAUUAUAUCCAAAUAAUAGUUCAGAGUAAAGAAUCAUUAUUUUAGCAAAGAGGCUUUCCACGGAUACAGUUUCACUAAGCUACAGCUUGACUGUUGAAGUGUGACUAUUCAGUAAUGCUACAAAUAUCUCAAUACUCUUAACAAUUUGCUGUCAACAGGGAGAUAGCACCUGCAAUACAACAUGAUUUCUGCAUUAUGUGACUGUGUCUUACAUGAAGACAAACAGCACAAAGUAUUACAGUGCUAUCACUACUGCCUUGAAGGGAUGGAUAAUAUAAACCUGAUCUAAACCCCACAGUCAGUUACCUUCUGUUAUUUAAUCUGUAACAAUCUAUGUAAAAAACACACGUCUUGCCUGUUCUUUGUUUUUAAAAAAGGGUUAUUUUUUAAGUCUCUUGCCCAGCUCUUGUUUUCAUUUCUUUAGCAUGGUGGCUGCAUCCCUUAAAGUCUCCAGUAAACCCAGUAUCUGCUUUCUAUAUCUUUCCUUACACAUCAUGUCGUACAGGUUUGUGGGGUUUUUGUUGAUUUUUGAAGAAACCUUUACCAGUCUACAAGGUUUCAGCAAUAUGCUUACCUGAAGGGUGACUGCUGGCCCACCCUGUCCUCCAAGAUGUGUAAGAAAAAAAUUACACAUAGAAUUUUAUUUAAUAUUCUACUCUGUUCUCAAAAUAAUAUUUUAGGUGCAUCAGACCUGUACAGUGAUCUUUGCUGAAGCUGAUCAUAACAAUGUAAUUAGAAGACUAGCAGUAUGCAUUGUUUCACCCUGUAACACACUCGAGUGGAAACGUAACUGCACAUUAAAUCCUGAUUUUUAAGCAAGACUUUAAUACAAUAGGAAACUCCUCAAAUUACCCCUGCUGUCCUACUGUCUUCUUUUCAGUUAGUCAGCUUAGUAUCCUUACGAUUUCUUUAUCUGCACUCCUCUAUCCUCUUUUUCCUUUAGGACUACAUCAAAUAUUUAUUGGUCUCACAGAAAAAUCUGUUGGAUCUGCAAUUAAUGAUACUUUAUCUCACAGAAAAAUCUGUUGGAUCUGCAAUUAAUGAUACUUUAAGUAAGGCCCUGGAAUGUUCAUUUAAACAUACAUUAAACCAACAGGAAGCACAAACCACUAUAAAUUGCAGAUUUAAAGCCAGUUACAGCAGCUUUUGAAAUUUGCCCUACAUUAUAUUCAGUUGUGAAACUCUAGCAGAUGAAGAAUUAAGAGUAAGAAAUUAGAGUGCUCUUCAGAAACUAUUGUAGUAGAAAGUUAUCAGAUUACCUCCUUCCUGUUAAGGAUAAAGAUCAGGUGCAUCAUCUUCCUGUUGCUUUUCAGAGGUAUUUUUGCGUAACUUCUGGUGUAAAUCAUGACCUUACAGUCUCCUCUGGUAUUCAGUCACCUGGACUGAUUUUUGCACAACCAUAAAGAUAGGUCUUACUCUUUGCUGGUAGCUCAGCACUCACAUGAGUCUCACGUAUACUAAAGUUAGUGGUAAAGUGACAUAUAGCUACAACGUAUUUAUGAUAGCUAACAGUUUUCUGUAUCCCACUGCAGCUAAUUAUUACAAAAAUAUUUGUAUAAAUACACUGAAAAUGACAAAAACUUACAAUCUUCAGUACUUCUUUAAACACAGUAUUUUAAAUAUACUCUCCAUCAGUCCUGUGGGAUUUAUCCUGUGCUUUAGUGUUAACAGAGGUGACUGAUGAAGCCAAUGGGAAACCUGACCAGUCUCAUGCAUGACGUGUGAACCUCACAUAGCUGGCUUGUCUAAUAGUAGAGUGCAGCCUGACGUUUCACCUCAUGCGUUUCUUCUGCCUUUGAAUCCUACUUGACAAGUCAUCUCAUUAACUGAAGUGAGAAGAAGGGGAGACACAGCCUGCUCAGAGAAGUUUCUCUAAAGGACACAGAGCUGAGCAAAAGGUUUGCAUUGUAAUUCCUUCCUCAAUACAUGACUGGACACAGGCAUUCACCUGGGUAGGGGCAAUCCCAAGCACAAAUACAAGCCGGACGGAGAAGGCAUCGAGAGUAGCCCUGAAGAGAAAGACUUGGAGGUGUUGGUGGAUGAGAAGCUCAACAUGAGUCAACAAUGUACGCUUGCAGCCCAGAAAGCCAACCAUAUCCUGGGUUGCAACAAACGAAAUGCAACCAGCAGUUGAGGGGGUGAUUCUGCUGUCUGCUCUGCUUUCAUGAGACCUCACCUGGAGUACUCCAUUCAGUUCUUGAGUCCUUAGCACAGGAAGGACAUGGAUCUGUUAGAAGAAGUCCUGAGGAGGGCCACGAAGAUGAUCAGAGGGCUGGAGCGACUCCCUUAUGAGAAGAAGCUGAGAAAAUUUGGCUUGUUUAGCCUAGAGAAGAGAGACUCCAGGAGACCUUAUAGCAGCCUUCCAGUACUUAAAAGGGGGCCUACAGGAAAGCUGGGGAGGGACCCCUUAUCAGGGAGUGCAGAGAUAGGCUGAGGAGUAACAGUUUUAAGCUGAAAGAAGGCAGAUUUAGAUUAGACAUUAGGAAGAAAUUUUUUACUGUGGGGGUGGCAAGGCAUUGGAAGAAGUCGUCCAGAGGAGUAAUGGAUGUCUCAUUCCAGGAAGUCUUCAAGGCCAGGUAGGGCCUUUGAGCAACCUGGUCUAGUGCAAGGUGUCCCUCCCCAUGGCAGGGGGGCUGGAACUGGAUCAUUUUAAGGUCCCUUCCAACCCAAAACAUUCUAUAUGACAUUACAGAGAGGGACACACAUCCCAGAUAUGACCUAAUCCUAUGAACAAGGGAGAUCUUAGCUGAAAUACAUCUAAUUCAUAGGAGUGUGACCCGGCCAGACAGCUGGGUAGGAAGUGACGGUUAACACAUGAAACUCAAGGAAUAUAUAAACUAUUAAGCUUCCUAGCUUUAAAUUUGAUUUAAAAACUAUUUUGAAUCUACUUUCAGAGAGGGCCUUUGUGCCUUCUCCCUGCCCAGUGCUCCUUCCUCUAGAUGAAAUCAAAUACCAAGCCCUGCUUCUGUAAAUUGGCGAAACAAAAAUAGAAAUGAGGCUUAUGAUGAGGGAAAAUAUUUGUAGCAUUAAAGCCUUUUACGACUGAGGCAGCACAGAUGUUAUACAUUUGUCUCAGCCCUUAUAUCCUGUUUUGAAAACCAGCCACACAUUUCUGAUUCACUGGACACGGAAUGUGUACUUUCAUUGCCUGGGGGGCUUCAGGGCGUGUGGUUCUUCCCUCGCUUAAUGCCUCCAAGGAUCAGUGAAUUGACCUGGGUUAAAACUCCGAGCAAAAGAGACACAACACUAUUUUAAAGCUGGAUCAAUUCCCUGACAUGGUUCACUGUGUUGCUCCACAAACAGCACAGCUGAGGGUGUGGUGGGAGGGGAAACAGACUUGUACAGGAGAGCUGGGAAGCAGGAAACCUUUUGGACAGCACUGUCAUUAAAGCCCAUGUUUCUUGGUACUUGCCUUGCCAUGACACAGCUGUUAAAAUCUGGAAUCCUUCUCAUUGCAAAAAUCCCUUAGAUUUUUUUCUGAUGGGAUGCUGAAAUGGGUGGCUGCCAUGCUCCUGUCAUACUACAAAGGUCACAGGUGACAUAUGCAUGCUCCUGUCACGCUGCAAAGCCUGGAACUUCCUCUCUGAACAGCAACUGAAGUGAUAGCAUAGGUAUGCCUUAAUAUAGAGGAGUCAAGCAAGAACCACAGUUACAUUGUUUAAAGAACACUCGAAGCCCAAUUAUCUAAUUAUUUUGUUUAAAUGUAAUUCACAGUAUUCCAACUAUUAAUUACUACUUUACAUACCACUGCAGUGUCUACUGACUGCGUAGACCUUUCAUUAACAUCUAGAACAAUAAAUCAUGGUUCAAAGCAUUGCUUAGCAAAGUCAACUAGAGAGUAAAAAAGACUGCUGCUAAUCUACCCUGGUAUUGUACACGCUUGCUACUUUAGAUGUAGGAACACCACUAAAGUUUUACAGACUUAUUCCUUGAAUGUCUACUAAGUUAAGGUUUUACAAGAAAGGCCCUGGAGCAGAGCCCCUCUAAGCUCAUGUUCAUGCUGAGCACCCUACCUGCAGGUGCACUGAGGUCAUCGCUUCCUUUCGGUUCUGCAUCUGUGAACCCUAAAGCAGGAUUUAACCUACCUGGGUAAAAAAUGUACUAGUGUUUCUUAACGCACUGUAACUUAUAAGAA